rnacentral:misc_RNA from 1 species
UCAAACUUGGUCAUUUAGAGGAAGUAAAAGUCGUAACAAGGUUUCCGUAGGUGAACCUGCGGAAGGAUCAUUAAAGAGUUAGGUACCUUUGGUACCUUCUCCCACCCAUUGUGUACCUAUUCUGUUGCUUUGACGGGUCGGUUUUACCCCUCGGCUUAGGUUGAGGUGUACCUGUCAGAGGUUUUAAACUCUUUACUCUUGAAAAUCUGAGUUAUUUGACAAUUAUUCAAAACUUUCAACAACGGAUCUCUUGGUUCUGGCAUCGAUGAAGAACGCAGC